rnacentral:rRNA from 1 species
AUGAAACACUCCUACGGGAGGCAGCAGUGGGGAAUCUUGCACAAUGGGCGAAAGCCUGAUGCAGCGACGCCGCGUGCGGGACGAAGGCCUUCGGGUCGUAAACCGCUUUCAGCAGGGACGAGGCCGCGAGGCGACGGUACCUGCAGAAGAAGCCCCGGCUAACUACGUGCCAGCAGCCGCGGUAAUACGUAGGGGGCGAGCGUUAUCCGGAUUCAUUGGGCGUAAAGCGCGCGCAGGCGGCCUGCUCGGUCGGGAGUCAAAUCCGGGGGCUCAACCCCCGCCCGCUCCCGAUACCGGCGGGCUUGAGUCUGGUAGGGGAAGGCGGAAUUCCCAGUGUAGCGGUGGAAUGCGCAGAUAUUGGGAAGAACACCGGUGGCGAAGGCGGCCUUCUGGGCCACGACUGACGCUGAGGCGCGAAAGCUAGGGGAGCGAACAGGAUUAGAAACCCGUGUGGUCCGAAGUUC